AUUGAACGCUGGCGGCAUGCCUUACACAUGCAAGUCGAACGGCAGCACGGGAGCAAUCCUGGUGGCGAGUGGCGAACGGGUGAGUAAUAUAUCGGAACGUGCCCAGUGAUGGGGGAUAGCCCGGCGAAAGCCGGAUUAAUACCGCAUACGACCUACGGGUGAAAGCAGGGGAUCGCAAGACCUUGCGUCAUUGGAGCGGCCGAUAUCAGAUUAGCUUGNGGUGGGGUAAAGCCUACCAAGGCGACGAUCUGUAGCUGGUCUGAGAGGACGACCAGCCACACUGGGACUGAGACACGGCCCAGACUCCUACGGAGGCAGCAGUGGGGAAUUUUGGACAAUGGGCGCAAGCCUGAUCC
rnacentral:rRNA from 1 species